AUUGAACGCUGGCGGCAGGCCUAACACAUGCAAGUCGAGCGGUUGACGGGAGCUUGCUCCCUGAUUCAGCGGCGGACGGGUGAGUAAUGCCUAGGAAUCUGCCUAUUAGUGGGGGACAACGUUUCGAAAGGAACGCUAAUACCGCAUACGUCCUACGAGAGAAAGCAGGGGACCUUCGGGCAUUGCGCUACUAGAUGAGCCUACGUCGGAUUAGCUAGUUGGUGAGGUAAGGGCUCACCAAGGCGACGAUCCGUAACUGGUCUGAGAGGAUGAUCAGUCACACUGGAACUGAGACACGGUCCAGACUCCUACGGGAGGCAGCAGUGGGGAAUAUUGGACAAUGGGCGAAAGCCUGAUCCAGCCAUGCCGCGUGUGUGAAGAAGGUCUUCGGAUUGUAAAGCACUUUAAGUUGGGAGGAAGGGUUGUAGAUUAAUACUCUACAAUUUUGACGUUACCGACAGAAUAAGCACCGGCUAACUCUGUGCCAGCCGCCGCAGUAAAAC
rnacentral:rRNA from 1 species